UACGUAGGCAGCAAGCGUUGUUCGGAGUUAUUGGGCGUAAAGCGCACGUAGGCGGCUUGGCAAGUCGGAUGUGAAAUCCCUCGGCUCAACCAAGGAAGUGCAUCCGAAACUGCUGAGCUUGAGUACUUAAGAGGAUCGCGGAAUUCCCGGUGUAGAGGUGAAAUUCGUAGAUAUCAGGAGGAACACCGAUGGCGAAGGCAGGUCUCUGGGCCAUAACUGACGCUGAGAAGCGAAAGCAUGGGGAGCGAACAGG
rnacentral:rRNA from 1 species